CAGAGCAUAUUUAUAAGGAGAAGCCUGACACCUGACACUAGCACAAAGCACCCCGAGCUACCAGGAGACAAAUCGUGGCUUGCACAGAAAUUGGUAUCAGUAUAUCAGCCUGCUAACACCGCAGUAAUGGGUCUCCCACCAGCAGCAUGG